GUUUACAACUCCCAAACCCCUGUGAACAUACCACUUGUUGCCUCGGCGGAUCAGCCCGCUCCCGGUAAAACGGGACGGCCCGCCAGAGGACCCCUAAACUCUGUUUCUAUAUGUAACUUCUGAGUAAAACCAUAAAUAAAUCAAAACUUUCAACAACGGAUCUCUUGGUUCUGGCAUCGAUGAAGAACGCAGCAAAAUGCGAUAAGUAAUGUGAAUUGCAGAAUUCAGUGAAUCAUCGAAUCUUUGAACGCACAUUGCGCCCGCCAGUAUUCUGGCGGGCAUGCCUGUUCGAGCGUCAUUUCAACCCUCAAGCACAGCUUGGUGUUGGGACUCGCGUUAAUUCGCGUUCCCCAAAUUGAUUGGCGGUCACGUCGAGCUUCCAUAGCGUAGUAGUAAAACCCUCGUUACUGGUAAUCGUCGCGGCCACGCCGUUAAACCCCAACUUCUGAAUGUUGACCUCGGAUCAGGUAGGAAUACCCGCUGAACUUAAGC
rnacentral:rRNA from 1 species